rnacentral:lncRNA from 1 species
GAACGUUUUGAUUCCAAUUUCUCAUAGAUUUGCUCUUGCGAACAAAAUGGUACACUCCUCUCUCCGCCUCCUUUGUUUGGUGUCUUGCUAAUUUACCAUUCAUUGAUUUUCUGGGUUUUCCUUUUCAGAUCUACCAAAAAAACCCUUACUGGAGGUGUAUCUUUUCGCCUUCAUUUGCUUGGUUUAUGUCUUGUUUAAUGUUCUAUUUGUUAAUUUGAAUUGUUACUUUCCAUUUAAACUUAAUGUUAAUUUGGUUGGUUUGUUAAAUCCGAUAAUAUCUCUUACAUUUUAUGUAACACCCCAAAUUGGAAACGAGGCAAAAAGCAGCUUUAGGAAAAGCUGCAGGUGUGACCCACGAGGGUCAACCACGCCACGUGAUUGGAUCCACGCCCCGUGGGUGGGUGUCGUGGAUAGGGUACCCUGAGAAUUGUCUAGGAAAGUGACCCACGCCAGGACCCACGGCCCGUUGAUGGGUCGACAGUCAAUGGCUUGGGGUCCGUAGGUCCUGACCCCAAUUUUCAAGUCUUUUAUCCCCGAACCACGAUUAACUAGGACAGACCAUAGGUCCAUCCACGGUCCGUCGGUCAUGGUCUCGCGGAUCAGGCCUGACAGUUAUUUUUAGGGACUUAAGGGUCUUUUCUGGUUUUAAUUAAAUUGAAUUUUAAUUAAAUUGAAGUGAUGUCAUUUUGCCUAGACCUAGACCACCUAUAUAAGUAUUUUUAACCCCCAAAAUCCCCCAAUUAAGUUUUUCUCUCAAAUCACCAAAGAAAACUCAAUUCCUCUCUCAAAUAUUCUCUCUCUAGAAGGUAAAAGAAGAAGAAGGAGACUGAAACUAGGUCAAGAUCAAGUCUUCCAAUCUUCAAGCUUUGGUGGGCUUUGUGACUAAGGUAUGAUGGCUUUUAAUCCAUGGGAUCCUUCCUCUCAUGGAGUACCCUAGAAUUUCACAUUUUGAAGAAGAAUUUCCCCUAUUCUAGUUAGGAUUUCUUCCAUUGUUGUGGGUUAUGAUAAAUGUUGAUCCAAUUGAGUGGAUUAUGAUUGUUUAUGAUUGAAUUGAUAGAAUUGCAUGCAUUUAGGAUGAAAUUGCAUGUACCCAUACAUAUCCUAUGAUUUUAGGGUUGAAUUGAUAUGUUGGGUUUGAUGCCAUGUGAGGGGAACUCUAUGGGUUAGAUAUCUCCUUAUAGGGUUGAUGAUUUAUUACUAGAAUUGUUUUAGAUGGAAGCAUAUAUGAUGAACAUGAUGUUAAUUGCUUGAGAGUAAAGCAUAGAUGAUGAUCAUGAGAUGUAGUGCUUUGAGAGUAAAGCCUGGACUAUGAAUUAUUGAUUCAUUGAUGUUAUGAUUUGGAAGAGAUACUUCCCAUAUUGAAUUGCUAAGCAUAAUUGAAUAAAGGUAAAAGGUUGACUCACAUGAAUGAUUCUAGGUUGAAAGGAUUGCUUACCUAAAAUGAAUCUAGACUAAAAUGCUUAAUGAAUGAUGAGGCUAGAGGCGAUUACCCUUGACCUCCACAUGUAAGGAUAUGAGGGGAUUUCCCACGCUCCUUAGAAUUGAACAAGAUGUGAGUCCCCACGUUCUUACUAUGAUGAAUGGACAUGGAGGCGAGUACCCAUGCUCCUUAUGAAAUGAUGUAGAGGCGAGUACCCGCAUCAUAUGAUGAGAUUGUGGAGGCGAGUACCCGCAAUCUAAAAGUAAGUAAGGCAAGAGGCGAAUAUCCAUUAGCCUUUAUGAACUAAGCAUUGAGGUGAAUCCCCAUGUCAAAAGUAAGUAUGACUAAUGAGAUUAUGUUAUGAAGCUGAUUGAUUUGGAGUGUUGCUAGAUAUGCCUUCCAUGAUGUAAGCUUGACUAGAGGCGGAUGACCUAUGUCUUGGCUAAGGAUAAGUAAGGUUACUUAAGGAAGUAUUCCUCUUUCAUUAUUAUGCUUAUUAUGUAUUGAUUAUGAUUUCGCUUUAUGUCUUAUAUUGACCAAUGCUUAUGUUAUGUUGUUUAUGCUAGCCAUCAUAUUUAGUACUUAAUUGUAUUAACACAUACUCUUACCUACAUUCUUAUCAAAUGUAGGAUUCGGCGUUCCCGAUUCACACACUUGUGGCUAGGUUCCUAGAGGAUUGUGAAGGGAAGCUUUGGUGAGUAUCAUUGUAUUCGAGGAUUGGAUCACCCUAUCUCUUUUAUGUCUUUCUCUUAUGUUUGAGACUAUUGUAUGGGCUGCAUCCCAAGAUUUCUAUUUCUUAUGUUUAGAUGGUUUGAGACAAUGUCAUGUUAAUCUUCCGCUUGCUUUUAUAAAGGAC